rnacentral:lncRNA from 1 species
AGAUAAGAUGACUAAGGUUUGAUCAACAGAUAAUUUUAGUCCUACUACUAAUACUCCAACUACUCUUUCCGUUGCUAUGAAAUUGCUUCCUUGAAUCAGAGUUGGUGUCCAUACUGAGACCAAACAAAUUAAUAUACCACUACAAAGCUUUAGGAAAAAGGAGCAAAGAUAUAAAUCAAAAUUUGGACUGAUCCAGGAAAAAGGUUCAUGAUAUUCUCAUUUCUCACAAUCAAACUCAAUAAAUUAUGAAAAAAAUAUUAAAAAGUAAAAGUCGCUACUAGCUACCACAUAUAGAGAGAAAACAUCGAACAAACAAUUAUAUGAUAAUGCUUUAUGGUGAUACCCGGAACUAUGUGACAAUAGGUUACACCAGUUCAUUCUGUCUUUAGCAUAAAAUUAAUGUCUACCAGCAAUAUAUACACAACUUGUACAAACAUUGAAUGCUUUCCGGCAACACAUCAUGAUCGAUCUCCAUCAAGAAAUCUGGCAAAUUAACCUCCUAAAUUCUAUCACUAUUCCCUAGACCCAGUAACUGAUGUAGACUACAUAUCUUAAUUAUAACGAAUCGCAACUCAGCUCAUGUUUUAAUCCAGAUUUGCUUUUCUUUUAUUUCUUUGAUUGUUUUUUAAAAGCUUAUUGUUUGUGCUCUAAUAUAUGUCCAGCUAUUCCAUGAAUGUCAAAUGCAAGUUUAGCAAUCUUUCAAACCCUGCAUAAGACAUAGGUACGCUGUUGAACAGAAGCCUGACAGAAUAUAACUAUCAGCAUGAGCAGGCACUGUCUAGCAGCAAUGGGGGCCAAUAUGCUACAAAACCUACUGACCAAGUAGAACUAUUAGCUACAAAAUCAUAAAACAUUAGCAGAUCUAACUUUAAAAGUGAUGUAUAUUAAUCCACACAAGAAGCUAGAACUUAUAUAUAACUAGAUAGUCUAGAUUGAUCCGCUCUACACUGACACAUCUAAAUAGGAGACUCUAGCAUGUGUUCAUGAGAAUUUGUAACAAACUGUUGACUGAAAACUAAUGAUUUCACACUUGCUUCUCUGAAUAACACUGGCUGAGAUCCAUAAACUUAUGGCCAAUUAGAGAGCACCGAUUCUAGAAAAAACAACGUCGUCUAAAGAUAGUGAUUUUUCUAAACAGCUCCACCCAAAGUUUUUCUAGAGCUAAGGAUGUCUCUACCACUUCAAUUUCAAAAAGCAGAUCAAUCAUAAUGGGUAAAAGAGUUGAAUCAUGUACCUCCUGCAUGUUUUUGUACAAGUUGCUUGAAUUUUUGGGUCACUUCUAAAUCCUUUGACCACAUAGUAAUUAAUAUUUAUUUUCAAAAUCUUCUUUCUGUGAUUAUAAUAUUGAUAACGUUACACAUAUUAAUUUACAAAAAAUAAAAUCUUAAAAAAAAAACGAUUCUAACUUUACAGGCAAAAGACUAAGAAGUGUGUGCCAAAAAGUCAGGCAACCUAUAUAUAAAAAACUAGGGAGUAAAAUCUAACCCAAACCUAAAUGUAAAAAGUCACAGUUAAGGUAUUCACAAGAAUGUAGAUUCAUUAAUAACUAUAUACCACAUUCCUCACUCCAUCCGAAUAAUUCAAGUUACAAAUUAACUAUAUCCUAGUCAAUCGUCAUUGCGUCCAAGUCACAAUAAUGUUAUAAAAGAUGCUCACACUUCCCAAAUACAUAGCAUAUCAUUUCAUUUCCACAUUCGGUUUCCUAAACAUCAUCUAAUCUCCAAAUUGAACAAAUAACAAUUAUUCAGUAAUUUAGCAAAAAAAAAAUACAAUUAUUCAGUAAUUCUUUACUCUUAUCUAAAUCAUCUCCGCCUAUUGUUAUCUAAACAUACCGCAAUAUUCAUAAACCUAACAAAACAGCAAAAUCAUUCAAUAAUUUACAUAAAACCUUACAGAACAACAACAAAUAUAACCGAAUCAACUGAACUAACUAACUAACUGAAACUGAAUCAUUUUUUAUGAAAUAACCUACAACUAAACGAUUCAUAUUGAAAUCAAUAACUACACGAAUCAGAUCUCACUAACAACUCAUCAAUUUCAAAAUUAAUCAGAUUAAAUAUCACAAAAACACAGAUCACUCGCAAGAGAAAACCUGAGAAGGCAAUCUGAAGGCUUCGGACUUAGUGAAACACGUAUCGUCGAGAACUUCGCUCUGACACCACCGGCACUUACUGUUCAUCAAGCAUUGUAGCUUGGUUGAUGCUUCCGUACAGUUUUGAGCCGCCCGGUCGAGUUUCCGUUGAGUUGCGGUGAUUAACAGGUUGCGAGAUGUCGCAUCGCCGGCUUUCAACAGAUUUCCGGCGACGGCGAACGGCGGUGAUCGAAAGACGGUUACGAAAAGGAGAAGUAGAAGCAGAAGGAAUAAUAAAGGGCAGCCAGAGAUCCGAGUUGUUGCCAUUACGUUACUCGUAGAUGUAAAAACUGUAAUAUAUGUUUCUCUGAAAAAAACUGUCGGGCGUAUGAUUAAAGUAUUUUAAACGGGUCACAAAAAAUUGAAAAUUUC